rnacentral:rRNA from 1 species
CGUAGGGCGCAAGCGUUAUCCGGAAUUAUUGGGCGUAAAGAGCUCGUAGGCGGUUUGUCGCGUCUGCCGUGAAAGUCCGGGGCUCAACUCCGGAUCUGCGGUGGGUACGGGCAGACUAGAGUGAUGUAGGGGAGACUGGAAUUCCUGGUGUAGCGGUGAAAUGCGCAGAUAUCAGGAGGAACACCGAUGGCGAAGGCAGGUCUCUGGGCAUUAACUGACGCUGAGGAGCGAAAGCAUGGGGAGCAAACGGG